ensembl:lncRNA
CUGCACGUUGGCACGCCCUUGGCGUCGGGGAGGAGCAGAAUAGACGAUCUCAUUUUCUUAACCGUGGAUCUCCUCCCCUAGACUUGUUGCCUAGGGUAAAAACAUACCUCAGGUAAUUUCUAGUACAAAGAACAAGAAAGCCCUGUGAAGACGGCCUGUUCCAUCCUUCAUCACCCUCGUUACAUCGCCGGUUUGUGCGUCCCCUAAGAACCAUCAUGUGGGUAUCACCUGGGCUGCCACCGUCCACUAGUCACGUCUGCCUGUCCCUGUGCUUAAAGCACUCAUCGUACUUCGCAGAAGAUUCGCUCACACGGACUUUUAGAAUAAAUAUAUCUAAUUUUAGAAGAAAAUUCUGUGAAUGAUGAAUUGACUUGGGAAUUCUGUGAAUGAUGAUUUAACUUCUUUUGAUGUUCAGUCAUCUUAUCCAAGAACCUGGUAUGUCUUUUCAUUGGUUAAAUCUACUUUUUCGUUG